GUUCUACAGAUAAGCUGUAGAUAUUUGCGAGUAUUCUUUAGUAGUCAAGUUUAGCUCGAAAUGGUUGCACCAGCUAUGGAUGUUAUAGUGAUAGGGUGCGGUGCAUCCGGCAUUGCAGCUCUAAGACGCCUCCACGACGCUGGUGUCAAGGCCAUUGGGCUGGAGGCUGCUGAUAGGAUCGGUGGGAGGAUUCGCACCGUCGAGUACGGCGAUUGUUAUCUUGAUUUAGGAGGCGCAUGGUGUCAUGGCGAAAAGGACAACAUUGUAUUCGAAAUGGCCAAUCCACUUGGCCUCCUUGCUAAACCCAAACCCGAUCACAGAUACUUCUUACUGUCUGAUGGAAAGUUAAUCUCAAAUGAGACUGGAGAUAAGAUUCUUCAGAUAUUAGACCAAGAAGUUGGGAUAGCUGAUAAAAAUAAUUCUAAAUCGAUUUCUGACUGUAUACGUAGCGCGGCAAAAACAAAUCCAGAUCUUCAAAAUGACCCAAAACUAGUACAAUCUCUUGUUGAAUGGUAUGAAAGGAACAAUCAUUUGGGAGGUCAAAAUGAUCCUAAAACAGGAAAAUCUUUAAAAGGAUUGGAAGAGUGGUGGGUAUGUGAAGGAGAGCCCUUUAUCAAUUGGAAAGGAAAAGGAUAUAAAACUGUAUUGGAUGUUUUAUUGAAUAAAUGCCCCGAUCCCUCAAAAGAACUUCCAAUCGCCAUCCAUCUUAACAAAGAUGUAGAGACCAUAAAGUGGUGCACAAACAAGCCAGACUUACAACGAUGUAACCCACUGGUGCAGAUAAAAUGCAAAGAUGGCAGCUUGUAUGCAGCUAAAAGCGUUAUUGUUACACUUUCCGUUGGAGUUCUUAAAGAGAGACAUAACCAGUUAUUUAGUCCAGCGUUACCAAUUGAGAAAAUCAACUCAAUAAACAAUCUUCAGUACUGUAUUCUGGAUAAAAUUUAUAUAGAAUUCACCCAUCCCUGGUGGCCUAAAUUUCCGUCAAACUUUUCCAUAUUGUGGAAAGAUGAGGACAAAGCAAAGUUUUCCAGCCAAGAAUGGUGGAUCACGGAAGUUUUUGGUUUCAAUACUGUUGAGUAUCAUCCGAAUUUACUCCUUGCGUGGGUAUAUGGAGAAGGUGCAAUCCAAAUGGAGAAAACUAGCGAAGAACAAGUCAAAGCUGGUAUCGAGAAACUAUUGCAUGUUUUAUUCAGCAAAGAAUUCAAACCGAGUCCAGUGAAAUCCAUCUUGAGAUCACAAUGGGCAUGUAACCCAUUCACGAGAGGCGCUUAUUCAUACCGUAGCGUUAACACAGAAGAAAAUGGUGCUAGUGCUAUAGUGUUGAGCGAGCCGUUAUACCAUGGCGAUGGAUUCCCCGUGGUCUGUUUCGCUGGUGAAGCUACGUCACAUCACAGGCAUAAUGCUGUCCAUGGGGCCGUUGAGGCAGGAUUUAGAGAAGCUGAUAGAUUGAUUGCCAGUUUUAAAGAGAAUGAGAUAUCUAUACCAGCAAUGGAUGUAAUAGUGGUUGGCUGUGGUGCAUCCGGCAUUGCAGCUUUAAGACGUCUUCAUGAUGCUGGUCUCAAAGUCAUAGGGCUCGAGGCGGAUAAUAGGAUUGGUGGGAGGGUCCACUCUAUACAGUUUGGUGACUGCUAUAUUGAUAUGGGAGGUGCAUGGUGCCACGGUGAAAAGGACAAUGUAGUAUUUGAUAUGGUGAAAACUCUGGGUCUGCAUUCUAGAACUGAGCCCAGCCACGUAUACUAUCUACUAUCUGAUGGGAAUUUAAUACCAAAUGAGGCAGGCAAUUCUAUUCUCCAAAUUUUGGAUGAAGAAGUGUUCAAAGCUGAUAAAAAUAAUUCUAAAUCAGUUUUAGAGUGUAUUCUUAAUGUGGCAAAAACAAAUCCAUCACUACAAAAAGAUCCUGAACUAGUACAAUAUUUCGUGGAAUGGUAUAAACGGGGACAUCAAUUAGGUGGUGAGAUUGAUCCAAAAACGGGAAUAUCACUGAAAACAUUAAAAGAAUGGUGGGUGAGUGCUGACGAACUUCUUCACAAUUGGAAAGGAAAGGGCUAUAGAAUCAUCUUGGACUUUUUGUUGAAUAAAAUUCCCGAUGCCACAAAAGAAAUUUCAAUUCCAAUCCACCUCAACAAGGAAGUUGAAAAUAUAAUGUGGUCCGCAAGUAAGCCUGAACGCAGUAGCCCACUGGUACAAAUAAAAUGCAAAGAUGGCAGCUCAUAUACUGCUAAAAGUGUAAUCAUUACAGUUUCUAUCGGAGUUCUCCAAGAGAGACAUAGCCAGUUAUUCAACCCACCAUUACCAGUAGAGAAAAUUAAAUCUAUCAUGAAACUUCAGCGUUGUGUUCACGAUAAAAUUUAUAUAGAAUUUUCCCAGCCAUGGUGGCCCAAAUAUCCCUCAACUUUUACUAUGUUAUGGCGGGAGGAAGACAAAGCGAAAUUUUCAAACCAAGAAAGAUGGAUUACAGAAAUUUAUGCAAUAAAAACUGUAGAAUAUCAUCCUAAUUUGCUUCUUGCGUGGAUAUAUGGCGAAGAGGCAAUAGAAAUGGAAAAGAUAAGCGAAGAAGAAGUCAAAGCAGGCAUUGAGAAACUUUUGACUGUCUUAUUUACUAAAGAAUUCAAACCGAACCAUGUGAAAUCAAUAAUAUGAUCACAAUGGGCAAUCAAUCCUUUUUUCCGAGGAUCUUAUUUCUACCAUGGCGUUAACACAGAAGAAAAUGAUUAUAACACUUCGCCACUAAGCGAGCCUUUGUACCACGGUGAUAGAUUCCCUGUGGUUUGUUUUGCUGGCGAUACCACAUCAAAUAAAUCACCUAAUGGUGUCCAUGGGGCAGUCUCAGCAGGAUUUCGAGAAGCUGAUAGAUUGAUUGCUAGCUUUAAAGAUUUGUAAUGAAGACACCUACCUACACCUACCAGUGACGUGCACUUCAUACAUGCAUUAAUACCUGCAUACCCUAAGAGUUGUCUUCUUAGUGCUUAUUAAAAACAGAUUUUCCAGUUUACUUAAUUUUAUUACUAGUGCAUACCCUGAGUUACUGCAGGCACGCCACUGCCACCUACCUUACAUUAGUAAUUAGCUAUAUUGAUUUCUAAAAUAAAUAAAUUCUAAAUUAAAAAAUAAUUAAGAAAAAGAAGUUUAAUAAAAGCUGCCGUUUUCAAUUAUGUAAUCGUUGAUAUUAUUUUCUUGUAAACUUUUGCGAGAUAGCGACAUAGACCACAAUAUAAUUGUGGUUUGACUCAAUGAUAUUUUAUAUUUAGAGAUAGGGCACUAGCGUAACAAAACUGAGAAUGUAAUUUAAUUAUAUAAUACCUUAAUAUUUUCUACAAUAACAAGUUGAGUGUUUAGGAAGUGUAAAAACUAUAUAUACAUAAAUAUAUAAUAUGUGUGCGCUCAGUGGAGUAGCUAAAUUCGGAUCACUUUUUGCGAUGAUUUUGGCACGUCAGCCUAGCCGGAGAACGAACCCAGGACCUCCGUCUUUGUCAGAAACGUCCUAAAAAUUGCAUCCGACUACCCUAGAUCUCAGAAUACAGUAAAACACAUGACAUGAUAAACUGUACACUUAAUAUUACUUUGCCUCUAACUUUCUAAAAUUUUACCAAAAAAAUAGGGAAAAUUUUACAGCGCAUGCGCAAUGAACUCGCAACAUUACGCGGGUGGGAAGUGCGAGGGGUGCGGAUUGAUGUUAUCAUUUUUGGACAUAGUCCUCGCUGUAUAAUGACGCCUGAACGUACCAU